UUAAAUAAUUAAUCACGAAACUCUCGCAAAGCUCAAUGUUGCGAUCCGUUACAGUAAAAAAUUACGAUUAAACGAGUGCUUGAGUUGACUGGGAUUUCAUCCCGCCGUCCCCGUGGUUGUUGACUCUCGUUCUCGCGCCCUCUUUACGCAAACCGAAACUUUCAGUCUCCACUGAACUGAAACUCCUACACAUUGAAUAAUCGUGGUUAUAAAAUCGGCUCUUAUUAUAAUCCUUUCCUGUCCAUUUUGGUUCCAGUUUGAAGAAGAACAUGGUUUGGAAUUAUCCGGGCAUAUCCUUAGAGGAAAUGGUGAAACUAAUAAAAGGGUUUGUAGAUAUCUUGAUUCUGGCAUCUGGGUAUCAGUCCUCUGGUCUGUUAGCCCAGUGGGAUGCCCACAAUAUCAAGAAAGCCUUUCACUGGGCUUCAUUUUUUGAGAAUGUGCUUCGGCAAAUAAGUAGCUCAGAUGCUUACCAGGACUCAGUUAAGGAACUUGAUGUAGCUAUCCGAGAAAUGACAUCCAAUCCUUCUUUUCCUCCGGGACUUGCAAAUCUAUCCUAUGGUACUCUUAAUAGGGCAAGAAAUUUUGUACUGGCACAUUUGUUCCAUACUUUGCCAUUGAGGGAUUCACAUCUCAGGGCUUUUCUAACUGCAAUAAUUGAGAUGGAUCUUGAUAAGCAUUCGGGAUCAGAGCAUGAGUGCCUUAGUGUAUAUCUCAACAAGUUUAACUUGGUUCCAGAACGGAUCGGUCUUGUUAAGGAUUCAGUUAUUGCAGUUGAAGACAUUACUCCAACUAUGAAGCUUGGAAGAUUCACGGAUGAUGACUUGACAAAGUUUACUCUUCAGGAGCUGUUCAAGAGGCAGUCGGCAGUGUCAUGCAUAUCUAAAGUUGGGACCGGCUUAGAUAUCCUCUCUAAGGCCAUCAGAUGUUGUAGUUGGACUGAUUCUGAUAGUAGCUUAUCUGAAGAACACCUGAAGCACGAAGGAGCUCAAACUUCAGUGGGGAGUGCAGAUCAAUUGGUUGAUUUUAUUACAUGGCAUCGCUGGAAAUCAUUGAACCUCUCAUAUUUUCUUCAUAAGCGAACUGUCAGAUUGGUGUCAGGUGCCAGCAUGAUAUUUUCUGCCCCUAAGUUUAAAUGGUUGCAAAUUUUUGAAUGGCUGAAUACUUCAGCAAAAUGCAAGGAGGAUGAUGAUUUGCAGGAAACAAUAGAACUCAUGUUGCUUGGAUGCAUUACAAACAAAUGGAAUCACCUAAUUGAAUAUUUCAUGUCAGUUUCUUAUGAUCCCUUCACUAUCUCAAAGCUGUAUCAUGAAGUCUGCAGUUUAUUUACUGGAAGAUCUCAAAGUUCUCACUCCAAAGAGGAAUCAACAGAUUCAAAGGAAAAUGCCAUUCUUGAGUAUUUGGAUAGGUUGCUGGGUGGACAGCUUCAUCAAUUAUGGAAACUAUCCCCUGUCCUUGUUGCUGUUGCAAUACCAUUCUGGUCUCCUCUGUUUAGGUUGUAUCUAAGUGAAAUAGAGAGUCAAUUCAAAGGAGAUUCUUCAGUGAUGAGAUGCUGCAGUUGUGUCCUAGAUAGGAAGGAGCAUGAAGAUUGUAAGUAUAGUCAACCCUCCCCACUACAUGCUAAAAGUUGUCAAAAUCUAGGUUGCAAACUGUGCAAGCAUCUUUAUUUCAAGAAGUCUGACCAUGUACAGUGAACAAGUGGAAAUUCUUCCACUGAAGUUCUGAUUAGUAGUGUUACUAUUGAUGUCAUGAAUACAUAAAUAUCAUGUUUCAAGUCCUAGAGGGAAAAAGAGGAGAAUGAAAAGGGGCUUUUUUCAUAUAAGAGGUUCUUCUAGUUAAUAGAAUUCCUUGAUAGAAACAAUUGAUGCAUGCAUGGUUUGCACCUGUGCGCUAAUAAACAUAAGCAUUAUUUUUUUCAGCUAUAAGUCCUUACCUUUUUACAUUAGUUUUAGAUGAAUUGACGAAACAUAUACAAGAGAGUAUUCUUUAGUGCGUGAUGUUUGCGGAUGAUAUUGUUCUGAUAGAUGAGACGCAAGAAAAAGUCAAUAGAAAGCUAGAGCUUUGGAGAAGUACUCUAGAGUCAAAGGGUUUUAAGUUAAGUAGAACGAAGACAGAAUACAUGCAUUGCAAGUUCAGUGAAGGCCAAACUGGUGAUAGGGAAGAAGUUAGUUUGGAUGGAGUGGUACUAUUCCAAAGUAAUCACUUUAAAUAUCUCGACUCAGUCCUUCAAGUAGAUGGGGGAUGUAAGGAGGAUGUUAGUCAUAGGAUUAAAGCCGGAUGGUUGAAGUGGAGAUGUUCCACGGGAGUUUUAUGUGAUCGCAAGAUUCCCAAUAAGUUGAAAGGAAAAUUUUACCGUAUAGCCAUACGACUGGCUAUGUGUUAUGGUAGUGAGUGUUGGACACUGAAGGAGUCGUAUGUGUCUAAAAUAAGAGUUGCAGAGAUGAAAAUGUUAAAGUGGAUGAAUGGCCAUACUAGACUAGAUAAAGUCCGUAAUGAGAAUAUUAGAGAAAAAUUAGGAUUGGCUCCAGUUAGACAAGUAGAGCACAUUAGGUUAGAUGAUAGAAAGAAAAAAAGGGGUAGACCUAAAUUAACUUGGAGGAGAGUAGUAUAACAUGACCUAGAAACAUUACACAUUUCUGAGGAUUUAACCCAAAAUCGUGUAGAGUGGAGAAAGCGAAUCCAUAUAGCCGACCCCAAAUUUUUGGGAUAAAGGCUUAGUUAAGUUGAGUUGAGUAUACUUCUCUUUUAUUUUUUAUUAUUAUUUUCUAUUGUAUACUUCAAUUUAUGAUGGUUUAAUAGUGUUUCUGUGGGAUACUUAUGGCUUUUACCUUUGUUUGAAGGCAUGCUUAAGCAUUAGAGAUCAUUGAGGAACUAUUUUGCUAAAAUCUUACAACCAUUGUAUCUGAUGUAUGUCCAGGUCAACUAGCUGAGAGAAUUUGGUGUCUUCACAUCUUUCAUAUUUGUGGCUUUCAUGUAAUGUAUGGUGCCAAUAGUGCUUGAAAGUUGAGCACUACCAUGUUGACAUUGGUCUCUCUCACUCUUUAGGUAUGGAUGGCGUGGACCAUUAUGUUAGAGAGCAAACCUCAUCUUUUUAUUAUUUUUUUAACAGAUGCUUCCUGGCAACUUCAUCAACCAUGAGUAAAACAGAAUGAAAACCAGAAACAGGUAAACACUAGCUACUUUUUGGAAGACGGGCCAGAGUAAAAGUGCAUAUCAUUACUGUUGACAUUACAUCACUUGCUGCAUGUGUCUUGUCCUUUCUUCAUGUUGGGACCCAAAAGGCUAGUGAUAGAAGCAAAGUUGAAUGUUCCCUUGAUGAUAAUGUUUUUUGGCCUCCACUAAUGGGAGAAUGACAUCUGAUGUCAUUGACAGUGCCUCCUAUUAAUGGGAAUGAUACUUGAAAGCUCAACUUAUGGUUUUCUCUUAUGAUUGUGGGGUUCUAUUGUAUUACCAUGUAUCUAGAGUCGAGAAAGAAGUUAGAAAUGAAAAUUUUGAGCUUACAAGGUGUAAAGAAAAACCAAUUGCAAAAGUGGGGGAAGAGAAUUGCAAGCACGGAGUCUGCCAUUACACAUGGUAAUGUAAAAAUUCGAGGAUCAUUUAGUUGUUUCUGUGGAUCACAUGUCUUGAGGCAGCUGGUAUGGAAGUUCAGGACAAAAUGGAAGCAAGCUUUGGGAUGGCAAAGGAGCAGUGUACGAUACAGCUAUGAUCUUCACAGCUAUUCUCUUAACUUUGACGAUGGUCUCCACCAUGGUCAUCUUCCAUCAAAGGGUUCUCAAUGAAAGUUUUCUCCCAUUCAGCAACAGGUCAUCUGGUUGUUAUCUGUUAGUUCACAGGACCAUUUGGCAUACAUACAAGGUUUUCUCAAGAUACUGGUGGUAUUUUCUUGAUCAGUCCAUUACGCAUUAUUUUUGAGUUAUAAUUUCAAUAAUGUUACUUUGCUUUACUGUGAGAGUUGCAAGGAACUGUCAAUGGCAUGUUGUAUAGCAUCUGAGACAUGUCUUAAUCUGGAGGUCUUUGAAGAGCAUUUUGUACUUGUUUUGAAAUGUUCUUCGUUACUUGCUGGCUUUCUGUGUUUAAAGAUUUCUUUUUGUUUAUAGAAAUGGAUUCCUGACCCAUUUCUGGA